GGCCGCCGUUGGCCGGCAGGUACAGCGGCAGCAGGCUGCCCAUCUGCGGGCAGUGCCCGGUCGGCAGAUACCGGUUCUUCACCCGGUCGGCAAGCA
rnacentral:tRNA from 1 species